UAGUGGCGGACCCUCCCGGAGCCUCCUUUGCGUAGUAACUUUACGUCUCGCACUGGGAUCCGGAGGGACUCUUGCCGUAAAACCCCCCAAUUUUCCAAAGGUUGACCUCGGAUCAGGUAGGAAUACCCGCUGAACUUAAGCAUAUCAAU
rnacentral:rRNA from 1 species